GUCCAUCGUAACAACAGUGAGCGACCAAGUUUUCAAGUUUGCAAGAAGCUUUCAACACUAAGUCAAAACUCAUCCUGUCCUCAUCCCAUGGCCCCAAGGUGCAAACUGCACCUUCUUGCAGCACAGCUCUGUCCUGCACCUCCACCAUGCCAUGGGGAACCAUCCAGAGACCUCCCAGCUGGCUGAGACCAGGCAGGGCAAGGGUAGAGGUUACAGUAUUUCCAUAAAUGAAUGCACAGCUCAGAGAGAGCCCUGAAGGAUCAUAAAGAACAUUUAUAUCUGGAAUGACCUUCCCACCAAGAAGCUGCUUUAUGGUCCCCAAAAGCCACCUAAGAACCCAUGUGCUCCCAGGACUAAGCUGCUGAUGCACACGGCAGUUGGUGUCUCUUGGAGGUGAGGAGAGACGGGUACCCCCACAUUUUAUCCACGCUUCUCUGCUUUCUCUGGAUCUGGUUCAGCAGCAAUGGAGACUUGCCAUGGACAUGUUGAACAGCCACGUGGUGGGGUUCUGUGAGCUGAGCCAAGCCAAGCAGUGUGAUGCCUCUAAGUGAAGGAAGGAAGGGAAGAAUUUGAUUGGGAAUACGCAGAGAAGAGGGCAACAGCAAACUAAAGAGGGAGUUCUAAACACAGUA
rnacentral:lncRNA from 1 species